CACAAACACCCAAAAACAACUAUUAAAUGUGGAUCUCAAUUUGUUAAACAGGAUCGUUCAGUCAAAAGUGAUAAAAAGUUGUGACUCUGACUUGCUGAACUUUAACCUGGUGGGAUAUUGGCAGCAGUAUAAAUGCCACAAUCCAGGAAAAGAAAGGACAUCUCUUAUAUGGCCACUUUUCUUUUUCUGCGUUGUGUGAAGGGAACCUAAAGGCAGCUUGUAGGCUGGACGGUGGGUAAGAUGUAGGGGAAAGGUCCGGACCGCCUACUGUUGAUUUAUAAGUCCUAUAGCGCCUGCCCCUCCUUUUCUUCCCUCAAACCUAAACCCCUCCAACCUCCAGGUUUUUCACCGUUGCAUCGCUCUCAGAUAACAAAAUGCAUAGGUCUUUGAUUUUCUGUGGUUUUCUUUCUAUUUUUUUCUGUUUUAAUCACAUCAACUGAAUGAAGGCAUUAGCUGAAUAGGAAACAAAAGACAGAGAGAAAGAAAAAACAAUACAAGUAAAAGAAAGACAGGAGGAAAACUUUAUAUUUAAAUGAAAUGACAAAGUAAAUAAAAAGAAGAAGAAAUAUGGAGGGCACAAGAAGUAAAAAAGGAGGUAACAAGGGAGGGAAUAUCGAAUUAGAAGUAAAUAGAUGAAUAAAUGAAAGGAUGAAAAUGAAAGGAAGAAGGAAAAAAUACAUGGAUCUAGGAAAGAAACAAAGAGAAAAGGAGGAAACGAAAUAAACAUAAAAUGGAGAUGGAAAGAGAGAAUGAUGGAUAGGAUGAAAGAGGAUCUAGGAUAUAAAUGAAGAGCGAAGAGAAAGACAAAAGGAAGCAAACAAGGAGACAAAAAUUGAAUCUGGGAAAGAAACACAGAGCGAAGAAGGGAGUAAGCCAGCAAAGAAGAAAAGGAAACAAUAAGGAAACAACAAAAGGAAGAGAAGAGGAAAGGAUUGGAAGCGAGGGAAUCAAAAGAAGGAAACGCCAAAUAAUACACUCACCGUCAGAUUAGUAAAUCCGCUACAAAACACAAGCUGCCGCUCUGCAGACUCCUCAGUGUCGGAUUGAUCUUGUGCAGGAUAUGAACCCAACAUCUGCAGCCUCCCUUCUGCGGGCAGCGACCACUCAGCGGUGGUCUUGAAGAAGGAGUGGCUUGUGUUCUUGCCAAAGCGUCAAGUAGCAUCCAAGUCAAAAGGUCAGCAGCUGUUUACCUCGCAGACAUGCAGCUACUUCUUUUAGCUUCGCUGCGACCUACAUUCUGAGGUGGAUGUAGAUCAAAGGUCACGUGGAUGGAAGUGGAGGUUCCCCUUCCGUCGGCGUGACAGCGCACACUUUUUCGACUGUCCCUGGAUUUUCACUGAUGUGUAAUUCACAGCCUCCGCCCAGUCAAAGUUCAUGAGGAGCCCCCUCUUAAAAGUGUUGUAUUUUACCUGAAAGACCUAAAUGUCAUCAUUGACCCG
ensembl:lncRNA